rnacentral:rRNA from 1 species
UACGGGGGGAGCAAGCGUUGUUCGGAUUUACUGGGCGUAAAGGGCGCGUAGGCGGUCAGCACAAGUCAGUUGUGAAAUCUCCGGGCUUAACUCGGAAAGGUCAACUGAUACUGUGCGACUAGAGUGCAGAAGGGGCAACUGGAAUUCUCGGUGUAGCGGUGAAAUGCGUAGAUAUCGAGAGGAACACCUGCGGCGAAGGCGGGUUGCUGGGCUGACACUGACGCUGAGACCCGAAAGCCAGGGGAGCGAACCGG